GCUCCGAUCGCCUAGUGGUUAGAGCGUCCGCCUCGGAUGCGGAAGGUCGUGGGUUCGAUUCCCUUUUGAGUCA